CUCAAACACUGGUUCUCACAUGAUCACCGGAGUAAAGCAAUGUUGAGCCUGGUCAGUAGUCAGAUGGGUGAAUGCUUGGGAAUACCAAGUGCUGCAAG